AUUGAACGCUGGCGGCAGGCCUAACACAUGCAAGUCGAGCGGAUGAAGGGAGCUUGCUCCUGGAUUCAGCGGCGGACGGGUGAGUAAUGCCUAGGAAUCUGCCUGGUAGUGGGGGAUAACGUCCGGAAACGGGCGCUAAUACCGCAUACGUCCUGAGGGAGAAAGUGGGGGAUCUUCGGACCUCACGCUAUCAGAUGAGCCUAGGUCGGAUUAGCUAGUUGGUGGGGUAAAGGCCUACCAAGGCGACGAUCCGUAACUGGUCUGAGAGGAUGAUCAGUCACACUGGAACUGAGACACGGUCCAGACUCCUACGGGAGGCAGCAGUGGGGAAUAUUGGACAAUGGGCGAAAGCCUGAUCCAGCCAUGCCGCGUGUGUGAAGAAGGUCUUCGGAUUGUAAAGCACUUUAAGUUGGGAGGAAGGGCAGUAAGUUAAUACCUUGCUGUUUUGACGUUACCAACAGAAUAAGCACCGGCUAACUUCGUGCCAGCAGCCGCGGUAAUACGAAGGGUGCAAGCGUUAAUCGGAAUUACUGGGCGUAAAGCGCGCGUAGGUGGUUCAGCAAGUUGGAUGUGAAAUCCCCGGGCUCAACCUGGGAACUGCAUCCAAAACUACUGAGCUAGAGUACGGUAGAGGGUGGUGGAAUUUCCUGUGUAGCGGUGAAAUGCGUAGAUAUAGGAAGGAACACCAGUGGCGAAGGCGACCACCUGGACUGAUACUGACACUGAGGUGCGAAAGCGUGGGGAGCAAACA
rnacentral:rRNA from 1 species